AGCGCAGGCGGUGCGGCAAGUCUGAUGUGAAAGCCCGGGGCUCAACCCCGGUACUGCAUUGGAAACUGUCGUACUAGAGUGUCGGAGGGGUAAGCGGAAUUCCUAGUGUAGCGGUGAAAUGCGUAGAUAUUAGGAGGAACACCAGUGGCGAAGGCGGCUUACUGGACGAUAACUGACGCUGAGGCUCGAAAGCGGUGGGGAGCAAACA
rnacentral:rRNA from 1 species